rnacentral:rRNA from 1 species
CCCUUAGAUGUUCUGGGCCGCAUGCACGCUACAAUGGUCUUCGCAAACGGAUGCAUUCUCGAAGGAGAAUGCCAAUCUUGGAAUCUAUGCCUUGGUCGGGACAGUUGCUUGCAAUUUUUCGACUCGAACCAGGAAUUCCUUGUAAUCGUGAUUCAUCACAUCACGAUGAAUACGUCCCUGCCCUUUGUACACACCGCCCGUCGCUCCUACCGAUCGAAGAGUUAGGUGAAUUGUUUUGAUCGAUAAGAUUUGACUAUGGUCAACUCUCGUUGUGAAAUUCUGUGAAUCUGACUGUUUAGAGGAAGGAAAAGUCGUAACA